GGUCUUCCAGCCAUUCUCAAGACUAGAAGUGUACAGCUUUGCGCAAGGGCAACUUCUCUGCAUGGCAGAGGUGAGGGGAAAUGAAAAUGAUGCUGGGACUAAGUGUCGCCUCUCUGAGAAGUGUCGCAGUCGCAGUCAUGUGGCAUGUCUGUUACAUUUCCCAGAAUGGUUCCCAGCGCUGGAGCUAAUUCCUUUUCGGAGAACCUACAUUUCUCACCUGCUGAUUGCAAUUAGCCACUGCCAGCUGGGGCCUGGUAUGCAGCGGAAAAGCUAACAAGAAGUAGAGACCGCGCGGAACCCAGACAGGGCAGAGGAUGUGCAUAAGUUUUGUUGAAACUGUCAACAGGGCAAGAGGUGAAUGCAGCAAAUCGUAAGGAGAAGACCUGAAUGAGGCAACAACAGAUGCUCACAAUGAUGGCAACUGCUGAAGUUGAUGGGUAAUGAUUUUGCGGCAUCGUCUCCACUGACUCGGGCCCUCCUCCACCCUGGCUGCUGCUGAAGACCCCAGGAAGCAUGGCCCUGACCUCUGUUUAGUCUCCAUUCAGGAGCAGCCGGCCACCAUGUUGUAAGGCAACCCUGUGCCUGAGGCCAGCCAGCAGCCCUAAGAGUGGGCUUAGGAGCAGAUCCUGCCCCCACCGAGCCUGGAAAUGGGACUGCAACCCCAGUGAUACCUGGACUGAAGCCUCGUGAGGGACACCGAGCCAGAGAACCCAGCUAAGCCGCGUCCAAAUUCCUGACCUUCAGAGAUGGGUUUGGGCCUGAGGUGUGUGAUGAUCCCAUCUGCGCUCUUGUAUCUCACGAGGCCGAUGAAGCCGCACCUUCAGGACUGCUCACUUGCGUGGACCUCUUUUUUGUACAUUUGCGAAAGUACAAGUGCGGCGUGUGCUUGGACAACCCUCGGGCCCUCUACAUAUAAGCGAUUUAUAGCCGGGUCUGAAUGGAUUGGAAUCAGAUGGCAAAACCCAGAUUAACCCCCUGGAUCCUGGUGGCCAUUGGUCAGUCUUUGCUGUUAAUGAUACUUUCACCCGAGUGAAUGCAUUAAAGACGUUCCUUUUAAGAUAAAUAUGCAGCUCGGUCCCUGAUGUCUGCCUGUCGCAAAAACGUGUGAUGGGAGACCAAAUGUCAAUAAAAUCUCCCUGCCCGCCUCAACCCGGUACAUAAUCAGCUCGAAGGUAAAUAAAUGCAAAGGAAUGCAAAGCCAGAGACGUUAGCGUACUCGCCAGAGCCACACCAGUAAUAAGAGGCAGAGCCAGAGUUGCAACCCAGUCAGCUGCGGCGUCUACCUCUCCCCAGCCUCCCAGCCUGGGAAAUUCAAGAAAUCGAAUGCAUCAUCUCUGAGGGGAAAAGGAGAUAAAGGUCCAGAACCCAUCCAAACGCUUCGUUCGGACCAGAUCUUUUCCAAAGGGAACGCACCAGAUGAUGGGCAUGAAAGGCCCUUAGAAAUGAGAUCAAUCUCGGCCUCUCUCUGAGGACAGCACUCAGGACCAGAGACUGGAGCCGGCUUGUUCAAGGUCACUCGGCGAGCUAAUGGAAGACCCGGGGCCACAGGUCAGAGGUCAUGGUUCACUGCACUAUUUUAUUCUGCACAUACACACAAAAAUGAUUUGGGGAAAUUCUUUAGCAAAGGCAGAAGAGUGAAAGCUGGCAAAUUUUGGAUGGAAAUUUAAGACAGAGCAUGAGUCAGAUCUCUUUAAAGUAUCACUCAGUGUUUUUGCUGUGACAGUACAUAAAAAUAACACUAGCUAACUAGUUUAGUGAAGGCUUGCCACCAGCCAGACACUGCCUUAAACACUUGACACACUUUUUUGCAUUUAAAUCUCCAAACGAUGCUCUGAGAAAGGAAUCCAUUUCACAGAUGAGGAAACUGAGACUUAGGGAAAGGAACUUUCCCAAAGGUACCCGGAUAGGGCAAUUUUGACAGCGGCUGGAGCAUAACAACACUCUGAAAUUCACAGCCAUUCUCGUCAUAUGUCCCUUAGAUUUCUGAUGCUGAGAUUGAGCCUCGUAUUCAGUCUAUGCGGGCACCAUCUGCAGCUGUAGAGGCCUUGUUCUAAACAUCUCACGUCAGCCCUGCCAAAGUGCAGCUUUGCAAGUGAGCCCCCAGAAACCCAUUCAUUCAUUUAUCCAUUCAAUAAUUUUUUUUCUUUUUAGGGCUGCACCCGCUGCAUAUGGAAGUUCCUGGGCUAGGGGUCGAAUUGGAGCUGGAGCUGCCGGCUUAUACCACAGCCACAGCAACAUGAGCCCUGAGCUGGUGACCUACACCUCAGCUCACAGCAACACCAGAUCCUUAACCCACUGAGUGAGGCCACGGAUGGAACCAGCAUCCUCAGGGAUACUAGUCAGGUUCUUAACCCACUGAGCCACAAUGGGAACCCUAUUCAAUAAUUUUUAUUUAUGGCCAGAAGCAGUCCAGACACUGAGGGAAACAUGAAGAAAUGUAAAACACAACUCGUCUCUCAAGUAAUUCCCAGUCUAUCUAGGGAUCAAUGCCCCUAAGUCCAGCAUGAAGAUCUGGGAGAUAGGAGAGAUUUAAAACAUCCUGGCCCAACUUCCUACCCAAGGCAAGAAGCCCCCCUACCCUAUUCCCACCAGAUCCAGCUUCUGCUGAAAUAAGUCUGGAGACAGAGAAUUUAGGGCUCAACCAUGCAGGAAGCCAGAUCUUUCCAGUUCUAAUUGUGAGAAAGACAAAAACAACAACAACAACAAAACCUCUCUCUGAUUUUAAGCUGAAAUUCAGCUUCUGGUAACGUUUGCCCUCCUGGCACGUUCACAGGCCGCUGUCCCAUCUUCCCUGAGUCAUUUGUGUGCCCUAAAUGGUUCCUCAGGCAAGUCCUCACCAUCCAUCUCCAGGUGCCAAUUCCUUCCCACAAGGCUCCCUUCGUGGAAGGUGUAUAGGGGGCGUCACAAGACACGAUAUUGAUUAAUUUGCUAAAUCUGUGCUUUCUGGGGUGUUCCGUAGAACACUAGUUCCACAGAGCUUAAGUAAGUACGUGCUCCAGCAAAAUAAACGCCCAUCCAUUAUUCCAUCCGAGAAAUCUCGGCAAAGCCAACCAGGUUCCAUUACUGAAACUUACCACCUCCAAGGUUAUGAGAGACUCGUGUAAGCCUGCAAAAGCGGAUACGGAAUGCUGUGAUGUCCCCCAGUCUUUUCAUGCCAGACUGGACUCUGCUCACGGAGCAUUUCCCAGAGACACUGUUCCUCAGAGAACUUUUGGGAGAAACGUAAGUUAAAAACAAACAAACAAACAAAAGUAAUCCAGACAGUGACCCCAUAAGCACUAAAGACCAUUCUGAAGCUGGAUGGCGGGGAGGAAGCCAUCUUUUCCUGCCGCCCCCACUCGGCACUCAACAGAUCUGUGCCCAUGGCCUUGACUUCCGAUGGCCAGCACUGCAUGUCUGCCUGAGAGCUUUGCAGCUACUGGAGACGGUACCCACGAUGGCAACGGGCUGGAAUUCCUAGAAAUCCAGCGGCCCUCCUCCCCCAGAGCAGCUGUCAACCCAGACGGACAGGCGGGCUCCUCCACCCUUGGUGGAGAUGACUCAAGGGCAUGGUUCCGCUGGAGGUUCCUUUCCAUCCCGCCUCAUUUCCUCGUGCCUCUGCUGCUUUUUCCUGCCAUCUCCUUCCACAGAAACGAUUGGCACUCCAGUCCCGUCCGGGCUCUGCUUUUGGUGGAAUGGGACUGGGCCAUCAUCUUCUUCUGCACCAGAUGCACGCGCCUCACAAAUCUCGCCCUGCCUCGGUCUCCCCACGUGUUUUUCUAGGGCUUGGGGACUCAGUCUGGCCAGGAUGGAAGAGGACUCCAGACAGGGAAACAUGGGAAAGGGGGGGCAGCUCUCGGGCACAUAAAUCACUGUGCAGCCGAGAGCUCUGCUGCUCCCAAGCCUGCAAGGUAAUUCCCAGGGCUGCGAAUAACUUGGCAAGCAACCCGCAAGUCAGGGCGGGACGCGGGGCCAAGCUUCUGGGUCGCUUGUCUCCAUUUUUUACUGUGGGUGUAACCUUGAUCCCUCUGCAGAGGUAAACAACGGGGUCUGAAUUAUUUGGUUUGGAAAAGGAAGAGGCCCCAGGGAGGUACGCGCCGCAGUAAUAAAUGCGGAGGAGAAACAGCUGUGCGCCGCUCGCCCGCCGCCCUCCCUCAGCGCCACCCCGGGCCGUCUCUGAAGGCGGAAAGGCAUCGCUCUCCCCGUCCCAAGUAUGGGCCGGCGUUGCCGAAGCCACAAAUCACCAAGAAAAGUGCAGAAGAAAGUUCGCCAUUUCUUGGAAUGGAGAUCAUAAUAAAUAAUAAUAAUCU
ensembl:lncRNA